rnacentral:rRNA from 1 species
AUUGAACGCUGGCGGCAGGCCUAACACAUGCAAGUCGAGCGGUAACAUUUCAAAAGCUUGCUUUUGGAGAUGACGAGCGGCGGACGGGUGAGUAAUGCCUGGGAAAUUGCCCUGAUGUGGGGGAUAACCAUUGGAAACGAUGGCUAAUACCGCAUAGUAGCUUCGGCUUAAAGAGGGGGACCUUCGGGCCUCUCGCGUCAGGAUAUGCCCAGGUGGGAUUAGCUAGUUGGUGAGGUAAUGGCUCACCAAGGCGACGAUCCCUAGCUGGUCUGAGAGGAUGAUCAGCCACACUGGAACUGAGACACGGUCCAAACUCCUACGGGAGGCAGCAGUGGGGAAUAUUGCACAAUGGGCGCAAGCCUGAUGCAGCCAUGCCGCGUGUGUGAAGAAGGCCUUCGGGUUGUAAAGCACUUUCAGUCGUGAGGAAGGUGUGUAUUUAAUAGAUGCGCACUUUGACGUUAGCGACAGAAGAAGCACCGGCUUAACUCCGUGC